ensembl:lncRNA
UCUGGGUUUUACUGACCCUCUCCUCUUCACUGAAGACAAGAUCUGGGUUUUACUGACCCUCUCCUCUUCACUGAAGACAAGAUCUGUGUUAUACUGACCCUCUCCUCUUCACUGAAGACAAUAUCUGGGUUUUACUGACCCUCUCCUCAUCUCUGGGUCAGAUCUGGGUUUUACUGACCCUCUCCUCAUCUCUGGGUCAGAUCUGGGUUUUACUGACCCUCUCCUCAUCAACCGGGUCAGAUCUGGGUUUUACUGAACCUCUCCUCUCUCCUCAUCAACCAGGUCAGAUCUGGGUUUUACUGACCCCUCUC